CAGUCGCCACGGUAAUAGGUAGGUGGCAAGCGUUGUCCGGAAUUAUUGGGCGUAAAGGGCUCGCAGGCGGUUUCUUAAGUCUGAUGUGAAAGCCCCCGGCUCAACCGGGGAGGGUCAUUGGAAACUGGGAAACUUGAGUGCAGAAGAGGAGAGUGGAAUUCCACGUGUAGCGGUGAAAUGCGUAGAGAUGUGGAGGAACACCAGUGGCGAAGGCGACUCUCUGGUCUGUAACUGACGCUGAGGAGCGAAAGCGUGGGGAGUGAACAGGAUUAGAGACCCGAGUAGUCCCUGUCUCUUAUAU
rnacentral:rRNA from 1 species